GAACUGCGAUAAGUAAUGUGAAUUGCAGAAUUCAGUGAAUCAUCGAGUCUUUGAACGCACGUUGCGCCCCCUGGCAUUCCGGGGGGCAUGCCUGUCCGAGCGUCAUUGCUGCCCUUCAAGCCCGGCUUGUGUGUUGGGUCGUCGUCCCCUCCGGGGGACGGGCCCGAAAGGCAGCGGCGGCACCGCGUCCGGUCCUCGAGCGUAUGGGGCUUUGUCACCCGCUCGAUAAGGACCGGCCGGGCGCCAGCCGGCGUCUCCAACCUUUUUUUCUCAGGUUGACCUCGGAUCAGGUAGGGAUACCCGCUGAACUUAAGC
rnacentral:misc_RNA from 1 species